rnacentral:rRNA from 1 species
AUUGAACGCUGGCGGCAGGCCUAACACAUGCAAGUCGGGCGGUAACAGGAGAGCUUGCUCUUGCUGACGAGCGGCGGACGGGUGAGUAAAGUCUAGGAAUCUGCCCAUUAGAGGGGGAUAACGCGGGGAAACUCGCGCUAAUACCGCAUACGCCCUACGGGGGAAAGGUGCUUAAUUGUACCGCUAAUGGAUGAGCCUAGAUCGGAUUAGCUAGUUGGUAGGGUAAAGGCCUACCAAGGCGACGAUCCGUAGCUGGUCUGAGAGGAUGAUCAGCCACACUGGGACUGAGACACGGCCCAGACUCCUACGGGAGGCAGCAGUGGGGAAUAUUGGACAAUGGGGGGCAACCCUGAUCCAGCAAUACCGCGUGUGUGAAGAAGGCCCUAGGGUUGUAAAGCACUUUUGUUAGGGAGAAUGGCACUUNUAGCUAAUAACUAUAGGCGCUGAUGUUACUAAAGAAUAAGCACCGGCUAACUCCGUGCCAGCAGCCGCUGUAA